ACAUUUCUACGAGAAAGAACCAACUGGGAUUGCCUUAGUAACGGCGAGUGAAGCGGCAAUAGCUCAAAUUUGAAAGCUGGCGUCUUUGGCGUCCGCGUUGUAAUUUGUAGAGGAUGCUUCGGCGAGGGCUCCGGUCUAAGUUCCCUGGAACGGGACGUCAUAGAGGGUGAGAAUCCCGUAUGUGAUCGGUUGCCUAAGCCAUGUGAAGCUCCUUCGACGAGUCGAGUUGUUUGGGAAUGCAGCUCUAAAUGGGAGGUAAAUUUCUUCUAAAGCUAAAUACCGGCCAGAGACCGAUAGCGCACAAGUAGAGUGAUCGAAAGAUGAAAAGCACUUUGGAAAGAGAGUUAAAAAGUACGUGAAAUUGUUGAAAGGGAAGCGCUUGCAACCAGACUCGUCCGCAGUUGCUCAGCCGGUCUCUUGACCGGCGUACUCUUCUGCGGCCGGGCCAGCAUCAGUUCGGGCGGCCGGAUAAAGGCCUCGGGAAUGUAGCACCCUUCGGGGUGUGUUAUAGCCCGGGGUGGAAUGCGGCCAGCCUGGACUGAGGAUCUCGCUUCGGCUAGGAUGCUGGCGUAAUGGUUGUAAGCGGCCCGUCUUGAAACACGGACCAAGGAGUCUAACAUCUAUGCGAGUGUUUGGGUGUCAAACCCAUGCGCGUAAUGAAAGUGAACGGAGGUGGGAACCCUCACGGGUGCACCAUCGACCGAUCCUGAUGUCUUCGGAUGGAUUUGAGUAUGAGCAUAGCUGUUGGGACCCGAAAGAUGGUGAACUAUGCCUGAAUAGGGUGAAGCCAGAGGAAACUCUGGUGGAGGCUCGCAGCGGUUCUGACGUGCAAAUCGAUCGUCAAAUUUGGGUAUAGGGGCGAAAGACUAAUCGACC
rnacentral:rRNA from 1 species